GACGAACGCUGGCGGCGUGCCUAAUACAUGCAAGUAGAACGCUGAAGAGAGGAGCUUACUCUUCUUGGAUGAGUUGCGAACGGGUGAGUAACGCGUAGGUAACCUGCCUUGUAGCGGGGGAUAACUAUUGGAAACGAUAGCUAAUACCGCAUAACAAUGGAUGACACAUGUCAUUUAUUUGAAAGGGGCAAUUGCUCCACUUCAAGAUGGACCUGCGUUGUAUUAGCUAGUAGGUGAGGUAAUGGCUCACCUAGGCGACGAUACAUAGCCGACCUGAGAGGGUGAUCGGCCACACUGGGACUGAGACACGGCCCAGACUCCUACGGGAGGCAGCAGUAGGGAAUCUUCGGCAAUGGGGGCAACCCUGACCGAGCAACGCCGCGUGAGUGAAGAAGGUUUUCGGAUCGUAAAGCUCUGUUGUAAGUCAAGAACGGGUGUGAGAGUGGAAAGUUCACACUGUGACGGUAGCUUACCAGAAAGGGACGGCUAACUACGUG
rnacentral:rRNA from 1 species